CUUCUCUCUCCUCCCGCACGCUCUCUCUUUCGCCUCUGCGCGUUUUCUCUCUCUCUCCUCUGCAACACCGGUUGCUUUCUCUUUCCGGCCACCAAAAAGCGUGAAACCGGUGGCUACGGACUCGUCUUGACCUCCUCUUGGCCCCUACGGUGGUGGCUCACGGCGGCUUGGCCGGAAAAUGACUCAUCGGGUCCUUGAAGUUUACUGUAGCAAGUGACCGUUGACCUGAAUUCCGGCCACCUCCGGCGAAAGCCAGGCUUUUUAGAAGCGCCUUGAGGUGUACUUGAAGCUCCCUAAAUACCUUGAAGCGAUUUGCAGCGUGGAGGAAGAAAGCAUAAUUAGAAAAUUUUACUCUACUUCGGUUUGCUUAAUUGUUCGGCCACUUAGAGGCCGAUAUACUGAGCUAUUACUCGAUGAAGGAACUCGUAUGCAUGAUCGCCUAAAUAGUACUGUGGUUCAUGGAGUGAUUCAAGAGAAAUAGGAGCUGAAAGGGAGCAAUGGAGCCAUAGAUCAUGAAGUACUAAUGCAGAGGACCAAGUUUUAUCAACCUUUUGGCCAGAAAUUACAAGGGAAGCCCACGGAAUUCAUUGUGCAAAACAGUUGCUGCAAAGCAGAAUACUGCAGUUUCAGAAUCAGCUUUCUGGGAACGGUUUUGAGGAGCAAUUAUUGCAUCAUUCCAUCUGCACCUAUGAAGAAAGGGCCAGCGAUCCUUGAAUACAUAAUGUUACACUUCAACAAGAGCCAAAUAACUGGUCAAAAUUGUCAACGAGGCAGUAGGAAAUCAAAGUCGAAAUAAGCUUCCCGAUAAGGCAGAAACUGUCAGCUUUUCACGAAGCUUUUUGGGAGAUCUUUUCCGGCGAUUUUCUUGGAGUUUUUCCAGAAUUUUAUUGAUCAUUCUAGAUGAUAUGAUGUCUUAUAGAACGUGGGAGUCAAGAACCAUCCAGAAACUUGUCAAGACGAAGUCGUUCCUUGUCCAAGAAAGAAGCUUCAGAGUCAGAAAUCGAAUCCUAGUCGAAACAGGACUGUUUGGCAGAUAUCUUUUGUGGACGAAUUUUGGGUGCAUUUUUGGAAGGUUAUUGCUGCUGCAAAUAUGAAGGAGAGUCGUAGAAUGAUUCCUCAAGAUUUUGGGAAGAUUAUUAAGGCUUGAAAAUCAUUUAAUUAUGCACCAAGUAGAGUAAUUCUCAAGCAACUAGGAGAGGCUUUCAAAGCGGAAUUGGAAAAGGAAACUUGGGCUGUGUAUUCUACAUAUAUAAAGGCUCUGAACACAUUGAAAAACACCAUCCUACAGCGCCAUCUUCUGCUCCCAAACCCUAGCACACAAAGUCUCAAAAAUUCCCAAGUCUUCAAGAAGGAAAACCGUGCAAUUCACCAUCCACUUCCAUCAAGCUACUGCCGUGCCCCAUCUUGAAGGAUUGCCUGCAUCUAAGGCUGCCUAAAAGUGAAUUCGUGGCUCUCAUACUCUGCUCUUUUACGGUUUUUAUCAUCUUGUAAUCUGAUACUCAUGUUUUUAAUUAUUGAAUUUAAGACGAUGUGUGGCUAGUUACUUUUUGUUAGGGGCGAGGUUUGAAGCCCCAAUUAUGUAGAACAUAUGUUUGUUUAAAUUUAGUUUCCUGAUCUUUGGUGUG